GUGAUGGGGGCCUCAGCACUAGGAAGGAGUGGACUGUUGGCGCACGCAGCAGCUUGAAUAAAUCUGAAAGUCACUACGCUGCGUAAGAGAAGCCAAAUAAAGCGCAUGCUGUGUACAGAGGGUGUCGAGAAUGCCUCCUACGUGACGGAAAGCAGAUCCGUGGUUCCCUGCAGACUGGCAGGAGCAGAUUCCAAAGGCACAGGAAGAAGCUUGCAGGUUUCCUUAAUGACAACAAAAAAGGGAGUAAUCCUACCCACUGUAAGAGUCAUGACUCUUGAUUGCAGCUGACAGAAACUCAUGACAGCCUGCUUUAGAUGAAGGGGGAGAGAAGGACUGGAAGAAUCUUGGAGUUGGGAAUGUCACACGUAAUUGAAGGAAGAACAAGAAAACUAUAGCAGCUGCUCCCAACCCCAGAACCUUUGCUGUCUUGGGACGGAUCACCACUGCAAGAGGGGAAGUUGCUACUGUGAUGAAUUCUGCCAUGUGGCACCAGACUGCCACCCAGACCACAGUGUCCUCUGCAACCCUGGUAACUCACAUACAGGCCCGAUUCCACCGACAGCAAAGCUGGAUGCUAUGGCUGGCAGAGGCAAACCCUUUGCCUGCACUUCAGGCCAAAGCCGGGAUGUGGCCUAGAUGGUUCCUAAGGUCCCUGACAAUCCUGAGAUCUUGCAUCUUGUCUAUUUCAGGUCAAAGGUGCCUACAUGCUCCUUCUAGCUUUGUUUCCCU
rnacentral:misc_RNA from 1 species